rnacentral:lncRNA from 1 species
AUUUAUUUCUACAUAGACUUUUACCUUUGGGAAGAAGGAUAUCUUUUCAAAUUUUUAAAAAAUGUUUAUUAACAGGACUCUUGGUUUGCCAUUGGCUUCAUUGAUUCAUUAAUUAAUACCUCAAAUAUCUUCUCAUUCUUUCCCAUGGGAAGGAAAAGAAAGAAUGAUGGAAAACAUCCUUAGCACCUGUCCUCAAAGCUUGCCCCACUAAUUUAUACUUCUUGUAAAUGGUCAGUUGAUGUAAAGAUAUUUAUUAAGUGCCUGAUAGGUACUUAGGUCAAUUCGAGAGGCUGUGGGGUUCAUAGUGUCUACAAAGGAAUUAAUUCCCUUUAAGGAGCUUGCAUAUAUAGUAAACAAGGGCAAAACUGAGGCUAACCAAUCUGCUACAGUUUCAAAGGGCAGAAUGGCAGCAGCUGGUGUGGGGUUUCUGUUCUCGCGACUAAAAGGCUCAGGGGUCACUCUAGUUAAACUGGGCAAACUGGGCUGCACAAAAUAACCACACAAGAGACACAAAUACCUUUAUCUUUGGGGUUGCUGUGACGGCUCCUCUGACCUUAAGGGUCCGCAGAAAGAGAGAGAGAGAGAGAGCACGCGCUGACCCCUUUUAUUGAGGAGAAGCUAUUCAAAUGAGGCAAGGGGUCAGGUUUCAGGGGGCUGAGUCUAUCUUCAUGAUGUCCACUGUCAGCAGGUUGAUUGACACCUGGGUAGGCCACACCCAAGGGCACAGUAAGAGGAGGGGACACAUACAAGGCACUUCCAUGGAAGAUUCUAUCCUAAAC